rnacentral:rRNA from 1 species
AUUGAACGCUGGCGGCAUGCCUUACACAUGCAAGUCGAACGGCAGCGCGGGGCAACCUGGCGGCGAGUGGCGAACGGGUGAGUAAUAUAUCGGAACGUGCCCUGGAGUGGGGGAUAACGCAGCGAAAGUUGCGCUAAUACCGCAUACGAUCUAAGGAUGAAAGCAGGGGACCGCAAGGCCUUGUGCUCCUGGAGCGGCCGAUAUCUGAUUAGCUAGUUGGUGGGGUAAAGGCCUACCGAGGCAUCGAUCAGUAGCUGGUCUGAGAGGACGACCAGCCACACUGGAACUGAGACACGGUCCAGACUCCUACGGGAGGCAGCAGUGGGGAAUUUUGGACAAUGGGCGCAAGCCUGAUCCAGCAAUGCCGCGUGAGUGAAGAAGGCC